CUCACAUACCAAGAAUUCUGGAAGCAGAAACUGUAUUCGGUGUCAAGAGACAUAAGCCAGAAACAACAGUGGCUUCAACAAGGUGAUUUAUUUCUCCUCACAGACCUAUGAAGUGUGUAGUCCGAGGCUGGAGAAGGGUUCCUUGGUGUCAUAAGGGAGUAGCACUGACUUACUGCUCUGCCAUCCUUAGCAUGUGGCUCUAAUCCUCAAGAUCACAAAAUGGCUGCAGGAGCCUCUGCCAUCAUGUCAUGUUCCAGAGGAAAAAAGCAAGAAGAAAGGAAAAAGGUGUGGAGGGGAGAAGGCACCACUAGGACAUCAUGCUGGCCCAUUACAUGGAUGGUAUUAUGAUGAUGGGAUCUGAUGAGCAAGAAGUAGCCACCACUUUAGACACAUUGGUAAGACAACUGCAUGCCAGAGAUUGGGAAAUAAAUCCUACCUACAAAAAUUUGUGGCCUGUCACUUCAGUGAAUGUUCUUGGGCUCCAGUGAUUUGAGGGAUGUUGAGCUAUCCCUUCCUGGGUGAAGGCAAAGUUGCUGCCCACGGCCCCUCCUGAUCCUGAAAGAGAGGCACAAUGCUGGGGAGCCUCUUUGGAUUUGGGAGUCCGCAUAUACCCAACUUGGGAAUACUGCCGUAAUCCGUUUACUGAGUAACCUGGAAAGCUUCCAGUUUUGAGUGGGAUCCAGAAUGAGAGAAAGCUCUGCAACAGAUUCGGGCUGAUAUGGUGAUGCUUGAAGUGUCAGUGGUAGAUAGGGAUGCUGUUUGGAGACUGGCAGCCCCCUCCCUAUCUGUGAAUCGCAGCAUAGACCUCUAGGAUUUUGGAGCAAUGUCAGGUCAUUCUCUGAAAAUAAUUAUUCUACCUUUGAGAAACAGUUCUUGGCUUUCUACUGGGCUUUAGUAGAAGCUAAAUAUUUGACCCCAGGCCACUAAGAUACUAUGCAAAUGGAGCUACCUACCAUUACCUGUUGUACGACCCAGGAAGUCGCAAAGCUAGGCAUGCGCAGCAGCGAUCUGUGGAAGUGGUUUAUACAAGAUGGCUCUAGCAGGUCAUAAAGCAAUAAGUACUUUGCCCGAGGAAGUUGCCCCGAUGUCCAGAUCCAUGAUUCCUGCUUCAACGCCUUCUGGAUCUCAAACUUCACCUAUGGCUAAUGGGGAGUUCUCUAUGACCAGUUGACUGUGAAGAAAACAAAACAAAACAAAAACCUCAGGUUUUGCAAAUAGUAAAACUCUGGUGACAUAAAACUCUGGUUUACAGGACAGUUCUGAAGGACAUGGAGGCACCACCUAAAAGUGGACAGCUGCAUCACUGCAGCCCCGUUCUGGGCACCCUUGAAGGAUGGGGGUAAAGGGAAAUUUUGCCAAUUGGCAGAAAUUUGAGCAAUGCACCUGGUUGCCCAUUUGGACCGAAAGAAGAGGAUGCCCAGAAAUACGGAUCUGUAUCAAUUCAUUAGUUGUGACUAAUGGUUUGGCUAGAUGGUCAGAGACUGCUACAAAGAGGUCUGGGGAGGAGAUAAGAAAAUAGAGCUCUCCAGAAGAGAAGGAGAACUGUGUCCCAUGUGGAUGCUCACCAGAGUGACCUCAGAAAAUAAAAUUUUACUUUAAAAAAAAAAAAAAAAAAAAAAAGAAAAUAAAAUUUUAGGAAGAUAGGAGAAGCCAUUUUGUGGACACCAGUCAGCCACUUUCCCCAGCCACUCCUGUCAUUACCCAGCCAGCUCAUUAACCACGCAGCCAGGGUGGGCAGCCAGGGGAACUGUGCAUGGGAUCCACACGAGAACUUCUGCUCACAAAGGCUGAUCUGGCUACUGCCACUGGUAAGAGCCCAAUCUGCUAGCAGCAAAGACCAGCACUAAAUCCCCGGAUCUGGCACCGUUCCUCAAGAGGAUCAGUCAGCUUGAUGAUGGCAGGCUGAUUACAUCCAACUGCUUCCCUCAUGGAAAGAGCAGCACUUUUUUUUUUUAAUAACCGCUUUCUUAUAAUUUAUAUACCAUACAAUCCACAUCUUUGAAGUGUACCAGCUAAUGGUUUUUAGUAUAUUCACAGGUAUGUACAACCUUCACCACAACCAAUGUUAGGGCAUUGUCAUCACCCCACAAAGAAACCCCGGGAGGAUUCUGGGAAGAUGGCAGAGUAGGUCACACCUACCUGGAGAGCAAUUGCACUGGCAGACUCAUUUUGGAACUCUGGAAACUCCUGAAGCCUGCAAACUUCCAGAGGAAGGCUAGGAUGGUAAAUUGUGGUGCGUUUUCAUCAAUUUCAGCUCUUAGCAGAGUCAGGGCUACCCAGCCCGCAGCCCCGUGGCCGGCAGCUGUACCCAUGUUCCUGCUGCAGCUUGCACACACCCUGCAAGACCAAAGUGGGCAAAAAGCACCUUGUCCUCCAAAUAUAGAGGAUCAGUGGUCUGAUCGCUGACUGCCACUUCUUUUUCCUUCUUUCCUUUCCUUUCUUUCCUCUCUUUUCUUCUCUUUCUUCUUUCUCUUCUUUCUUUUCUUUUCUCUUUCUUUCUUUUUUUAGUUUCAGAGGUAGAAUUUAGUGAUUCAUCAGUGGCAUAUAACACCCAGUGCUCAUUAUAUCAAGUGCCCUCCUUAAUGCCCAUCACCCAGUUAUUGUUCCCCCCACCCACCUCCCCUCCAGCAACCCUCAGUUUGUGUCUAGAGUUCAGUGUCUCUUAUGGUUUGCCUCCCUCUCAAUUUUCAUCUUAUUUUAUUUUUCCUUCCCUUGCCCUAUGUGCAUCUGUUUUGUUUCUUAAAUUCUACAUAUGAGUGAAAUGAUGUGGCAUUUGUCUUUCUCUGACUGACCUACUUCACUUAGCAUAAUACCCUCUAGUUCCAUCCACGUUGAUGCAAAUGGCAAGAGUUCGCUCUUUUUGAUGGCUGAGUAAUAUUCCAUUGUGUAUAUAUGGACCACAUCUUCUUUAUCCAUUCAUCUGUUGAUGGACAUCUGGGCUCUUUCCACAGUUUGGCUAUUGUGGACAUGGCUGCUAUAAACAUUGGGGUGCACGUGUCCCUUCGGAUCAUUGUAUCCUUUGGAUAAAUCCCUAGUAGUGCAGUUGCUGGGUCAUAGGGUAGCUCUAUUUUUAACUUUUUGAGGAGCCUCCGUACUGUGUUCCAGAGACUGCUGUUUCUGGUCACAGAGGUGCAGAGAGAGGCAGGCCGCCCUAUUGCUGCACUUCUCCCCAUUGUUCCAGCUUCUUCCUCUCCAGCUGCAGUGACUUCCAGGGGAUUUAAAGAGCUGGUGCCUUUUUAUCCCCACCUUCGUUUGUCUCUUUUUCCCCUUUUGGGAGCCAGAUAGUAAAGACUAGGACAUUCAAAAACAAUUGCAUAUACAGGAGAGAUGCAAGGUCAGAAAAGACCUCAGAAGAUUUUAAGUUUACACCCCAGUCUGAUCCUUAGCACAGAAACAGCCUAUAACAAUUAAAAAAAAAAAAGGAAAAACCAAUAACAAAAAAGAGCAAACCCUGGGGAUGAGGAGAAUCUGAUUUCCAGUUACUACAUUAUCAGAUUUAAAUGUCCAUUUUUUUAACAACAACAAUAAAAAAGUCACAAGGCAUACAAAGGAACAAGAAAGCAUGACCCAUUCAUUUUUUUUUAAGAUUUUUUUUUUUUUUUGACAGAGAGACAGAGCCAGAGAGCACAAGCGGAGGGAAUGGCAGGGGAGAGGGAGAAGCAGGCCCUGCACUGAGCAGUGAGCCUGACGUGGGGCUUGAUCCCAGAUCCCUGGGAUUCCGACCCAAGCCGAAGGCAGACGCUGAACCACCUGAGCCACCCAGGUGCCCCAGCAUGACCCAUUCAAAGGAAAAAAUAAGGGACGCCUGGGUGGCUCAGUUGGUUAAGCUACUGCCUUUGGCUCAGGUCAUGAUCUCAGGGUCCUGGGAUCAAGCCCCACAUCGGGCUCCCUGCUCGGCGGGAAGCCUGCUUCUUCCUCUCCCACUCCCCCUGCUUGUGUUCCCUCUCUCGCUGUCUCUCUCUCUGUGUCAAAUAAAUAAAUAAAAUCUUAAAAAAAAAAAAAAAAGGAAAAAAUAAAGCAACCAUAACUGCCCCUGAAAAAUGUCUGGUGGCAGAUCUAAUAGACAAAGACUUUAAAACAACUGCCUUAAAGAAGCUCAAACAACUAAAAGAAUAUGUGGGGAAAGUCAACAUGUAUGAGCAAAAUGGAAAUGUCAAUAAAGACAGAAAACCUGAAAAGAAACCUAAAAGAAAUUCUAGAACUAAAAUGUAUAAUAGCAGAAAUGAAAAGUUCACUAGGGGGAUUCAAUGGCAGAUUUGAGCAGACAGAAAAAGAACUGGUGAAUUCGAAGACAGGACAAUGGAAAUUACUGAGUCUGAGGAACAGAAAGUAAAAAAGAUCGAAAGGCGAACAGAGCCUAAGUGACCUACGGAACAACAUCAAGUGGGCCAAUAUACACAUUGUGGGAGUGCCAGAAGGAGAAGAGAGAAAGGGGCAGAGAGCAUAUUUGAAGAAAUAAUGGCCGAAAACUUCCCAAAUUUGAUGAAAGACAUGAAUAUAAGCAUCUAAGAAUCUCAACAAACUCUAAGCAAAGUGAACUCAAAGAGACCCACACUGAAACACUUUACAAUCAAACUUUCAAAAGCCAAAGAAACGUGCAUUGGUGGUAUAGUGGUGAGCACAGCUACCUUCCCAAAGCCAAAAUAAAAAUGAUAGGAUCUUGAAAGCAGCAAGAGAGAAAUGACUUGUCACAUACAGGAGAUCCUCAAUGCAAUUAUCAGCAGAUUUCUCAUCAGAUGGAAGACAGAAGGCAGUGGGCUGAUAUAUUCAAAGUUCUAAAAGAAAAAACAACAGCAACAAAAACCCUGUUAACCAAGAAUUCCAUAUCCAGCAAUUGUCUUUCAAAAAUGAGAACAAAAUGAAAACAUUCUCAUAUUUAAAAAGUAAGCCGAGGGAGUUUGUUCCUCCACAAGAGGUGAUCCUGUGGGGUGAUAUGAAAAGCCCUCGACAACACCUGGAAACCAUCUAAGGAAAUGAAGGAGAUCUUAAUAAAAGUAAAUACGUGGUGAGA